GCACUAAUGGUUUAGUGGUAAAAUUGAUGCUUCCCAUUCAAAUUGAUUGGCAGUGCUUCAGCCACGGGUUCGAUUCCCGUUUAGUGCA